UGAUUGGUCAUUGGAUGGGUUGGUCAAAGUUCGCGCAAGGUCGCCCUGACGUGACCCAUAAUAAGAUGUCCUCAGAUCUUUGUUUAGCGAUAGCGAGGACUGAGAUCUGAUUUUAAUGAGAUUGGAUGAGCUGCAGAAACAGAGUAUAGCUCACCCUGUCUGGCGGAGUGUCAUACUGGCUGUGGCUGCUUUACCAGGGACCACCAUAGCAAACACUAGGAUCACAUGUUAUAACAUCUUGUCAGGAUCAUUAACCUAGCACAAAUAAUCAUAUUCUAAUGUGAUAACAUUUCCUUAAAAUUUGCGAGGACUGAUUCACAUUUGAUUGUUACCAUGGUUACCAUGUUUUAGAGAUUGCAUAUGUUGUGUGUGGGAGGUCUGGGACAUGUUGAUCUGUUGCAUGGACUGUCUCCAUGUAAGUUCAUACACAAUAUUUAUCAUAAUAUAUUUAGGAGAACGCAAGAGUAAUGUGAGUGACAUGUCGAUGCGAUGUUGUGUUACUGAGUCUAACUUAGAUCUGUGUACGCUGAUCAAAUCUUUCUUAGAUCCGUGUUCAUCGGGUGAGUUUUACUUAGAUCUGUGUACACUGAGAGAGUCUGACUUAGACCUGUUUCACACCGAGUGAAUCUUGCUCAGAUCUGUGUACGCCAAUCAAGUCUUACUUAGAUUCAUGUACAUCGAGUGUGUGACACUUAGAUCUGCGUACACUGAGAGAGUCUGACUUAGACCUGUUUCACACCGAGUGAAUCUUGCUCAGAUCUGUGUACACCAAUCAAGUCUUACUUAGAUCCAUGUACAUUGAGUAAGUUUCACUUAGAUCUGUGUACACUGAGAGGGUCUGACUAAGAUCUGUUUCACUUUGUGUGAGUCUUGCUUAGAUUUUUGAGUGAAUGAGUGAGUGAGUGAAUGAUGUGCUUUGUUUGUUUGCCUUGAACCUAUCAGUUCAUCUGUUUUUUAGGUGAUUCCAUAUUUUUAGAUUUGCCUAAAUGAGUGUUGAGUUUUGUACCAGUGUAUUUUGUUUCGUAUGCACAUAUUUAUUGUCAGUCACUACAGCACCAAGUGUCAUUUCCAUCUGACCAAACUUGUAUUAUUUGUAGGGCAUUGAUUUCUGAAGAACAUUUAGUGAUUUAACAUGAUGUAGAGAACCAGAAAGUGUGCAGGGGAUUCACAGUCAGGGAUAAGCAACAUGAUUGUCAAUACAGAAAGCCUGGAGUGAAACAGAACCUGCCAUCACCUCAAGCCAUGAAGUGAGACAGGUGACAUCGCCAUCAGAUCAUGGCAUGAAGUAAGACAGGUGACAUUGCCAUCAGAUCAUGACAUGAAGUAAGACAGGUGACAUCGCCAUCAGAUCAUGGCAUGAAGUAAGACAGGUGACAUCGCCAUCACCUCAAGCCAUGAAGUAAGACAGGUGACAUCGCCAUCAGAUCAUGGCAUGAAGUGAGACAGGUGACAUCGCCAUCAGAUCAUGGCAUGAAGUGAGACAGGUGACAUCGCCAUCAGAUCAUGAAGUAAGACAGGUGACAUCGCCAUCAGAUCAUGAAGUAAGACAGGUGACAUCGCCAUCAGAUCAUGGCAUGAAGUAAGACAGGUGACAUCGCCAUCAGAUCAUGACAUGAAGUAAGACAGGUGACAUCGCCAUCAGAUCAUGAAGUAAGACAGGUGACAUCGCCAUCAGAUCAUGGCAUGAUGUAAGACAGGUGACAUCGCCAUCAGAUCAUGGCAUGAAGUAAAACAGGUGACAUUGCCAUCAGAUCAUGGCAUGAAGUAAGACAGGUGACAUCGCCAUCAGAUCAUGGCAUGAAGUGAGACAGGUGACAUCGCCAUCAGAUCAUGGUAUGAAGUAAGACAGGUGACAUUGCCAUCAGAUCAUGGCAUGAAGUAAGACAGGUGACAUCGCCAUCACCUCAAGCCAUGAAGUGAGACAGGUGACAUCGCCAUCAGAUCAUGGCAUGAAGUAAGACAGGUGACAUCGCCAUCAGAUCAUGGCAUGAAGUAAGACAGGUGACAUUGCCAUCAGAUCAUGGCAUGAAGUAAGACAGGUGACAUCGCCAUCAGAUCAUGGCAUGAAGUGAGACAGGUGACAUCGCCAUCAGAUCAUGAAGUAAGACAGGUGACAUCGCCAUCAGAUCAUGGUAUGAAGUAAGACAGGUGACAUUGCCAUCAGAUCAUGGCAUGAAGUAAGACAGGUGACAUCGCCAUCAGAUCAUGGCAUGAAGUGAGACAGGUGACAUCGCCAUCAGAUCAUGAAGUAAGACAGGUGACAUCGCCAUCAGAUCAUGGCAUGAAGUAAGACAGGUGACAUUGCCAUCAGAUCAAGGCAUGAAGUAAGACAGGUGACAUCGCCAUCAGAUCAUGGCAUGAAGUAAGACAGGUGACAUCGCCAUCAGAUCAUGAAGUAAGACAGGUGACAUCGCCAUCAGAUCAUGGCAUGAAGUAAGACAGGUGUCAUCGCCAUCAGAUCAUGGCAUGAAGUAAGACAGGUGACAUCGCCAUCAGAUCAUGACAUGAAGUAAGACAGGUGACAUCGCCAUCAGAUCAUGAAGUAAGACAGGUGUCAUCGCCAUCAGAUCAUGGCAUGAAGUAAGACAGGUGACAUCGCCAUCAGAUCAUGGCAUGAAGUAAGACAGGUGACAUCGCCAUCAGAUCAUGGCAUGAAGUAAGACAGGUGACAUCGCCAUCAGAUCAUGAAGUAAGACAGGUGACAUCGCCAUCAGAUCAUGGCAUGAAGUAAGACAGGUGACAUCGCCAUCAGAUCAUGAAGUAAGACAGGUGACAUUGCCAUCAGAUCAUGGCAUGAAGUAAGACAGGUGACAUCGCCAUCAGAUCAUGGCAUGAAGUAAGACAGGUGACAUCGCCAUCAGAUCAUGAAGUGAGACAGGUGACAUCGCCAUCAGAUCAUGAAGUAAGACAGGUGACAUCGCCAUCAGAUCAUGGCAUGAAGUAAGACCGGUGACAUCGCCAUCAGAUCAUGACAUGAAGUAAGACAGGUGACAUCGCCAUCAGAUCAUGGCAUGAAGUAAGACAGGUGACAUCGCCAUCAGAUCAUGAAGUAAGACAGGUGUCAUCGCCAUCAGAUCAUGGCAUGAAGUAAGACAGGUGACAUCGCCAUCAGAUCAUGGCAUGAAGUAAGACAGGUGACAUCGCCAUCAGAUCAUGGCAUGAUGUUGAAUAUCCAGGACAGACCUCUUGAGGUACUCGUGUACUUGGAUGCACAGAGGAAGUCCUGCCGAGUCCAAUGUACUGUUGUCCAUAUAAACUAUGAAGAGAUGUCCUUUGUUAUUGCCUUGUUGUCACUGUCCAGACUUGGCUGAUGACUGAAACAAGUAUGGAAUACAGUUUCUUGAAUGUUGCUCCAAUGUAACAGAGGUAGUGUUUCAGGUGAGUUUUCAGUCUGAAUGAACCAAUUGGUUUGUCGUUACAAGUAGUUUUAACAAUAACAUGUUUUUAUGUUCAUGGUUUGUACCACUGCAGUGAAUAAGCUGUGCAACAAAUAACAGCUUAUUGCAAUCUUCAAACUUGUUCAGAGAUUGAGUGUGUGGACAGUGAUCCUCCAGAAGCUAUUUCCUAUUCGACUAUUUCAAGACCUGAUCAUGUAUUGAUAUAUGAGACUGUGAAUCUGCUUUUAUAACUACAGUAAACUACAGUUAUAAUGAACACAAAGAAACCACUAAUUUUAGUUUGUUAUAACCGUAGUCUGUAUAUAUUCAUAUAUACAGCAUACAGUAUGCAUAUAUACAGCAUACCAACAGCAAAUGGACGGGACCCAGAAAAGGUUUGUUGUAAGCGUGUUCGUUAUAAAUGUAGUUUACUGUACAUAUAUCACUAAAAAUGUCAAGGAUAGUGCCAUGCUAAUCCCCUCAUGUUAAGAUUGUUUUUAAGUACUGUUCAACUUUUAUGGAAAUUGUCUGAGUGUCCAGAUAAUGACAAUGUGAUUGAUUGCUGAAAGAUGUUGUCAUGCAAGUAGUAUUCAAUAUUAUCAUGGAAGUGCCACAUUUCCAGCUUUAAUGAAGGUAAUCAGAAAUGCAUGUUUAUUGUAGCUGUUAAAGGGCAAGUAUACUGAAAAAAAUUAGUUUGAUUUUCCUAGAUAAGUCAAUUUCCAGGAGAGAAAACUUCAGAAUAUUCAGAGAAGGUAUUUAGAUGUCCAUGUGAAAGUGCUGAAAUGACUGACACACUCUGUAAUCAGCUUCCAAAACAAAGCUAAUUAGGGCGUGGCCCAAAGCUACAGAUGCAGCGGUGCAUGUUUUCAUUGGCGUAUAUGUAGACUAGUUUGCUGUCUUUAUCUAUCUUGUGAUUCUUAGCAGCUGUACAUAUACUGUUUCUGCUAUUCCGUUAAUCCUACAAAAAUAAUAAUAUUGCAAACAUGGUUGAAUGUGUGAAACGUCCCCUUUGAUCCUGACAUUUUGAAUAAUUUAAAUAACAAUUAACAAUCUGUAAGUAGUAUUUUAUGACUAACAUCCUGUUCAGGUAGCAUAAACAACCUGCUGGCCUCGGUCCUGUUCCACACAAUGAAUGCCUGUCAGGGCAGGUUCAUCCUCUGUGUAGGCAACCGAAGGAUUCUUCAGUGUUCUUACUAAUAAGUUGACACAAGGUGUUAACACAUUGAUCAGACAAAUGACCAGACAGAUUAAGCCCUGCAUUGCGAUUAAAGGUGGAAGCAGGCAAACUGGGCAGGAACCCGUUUUAACUAUUUCCGUUUUUUCAAACUGAAUUUUGGUCAAGAUUUUUGUGAUAAAGUCUGCCCUGAAGUAUUAAGAUCUUUAAAGUUGGUAUGUUGAGUUUACUUGCCCCUUAAUGCUUGGUGCUUUUAUUUAAUAGUGCAGUAUUGCUUGAAAAGGUUGAGUUGUAUGAGUUGUGUAUAGGGUUGAUACAGCAGUAGUCUGUGGGUGUCCUACAGGGGAACACCGAUGCAGAACGCUGAUGUGGAUAUUUCUUCUGAAUGUAUAUUAAUCUGUGUUGCCUAGAAGCGUGUUAUUUAUUCCAGUGUAGCCAUCAGUGAAAUGAUGCUUAUUUUGUACACCAAUCUGAACAAACAAUAUUAUGUACAGUGUAAAUUUGUUAAUAGUUCCACACAACAUGAGUGUUUGCCCCUCCUGUGGUAUCUCUAUAAACACUCAGUAACCUGACUUGAUGGUAACUAUGUACUGACUUGACGGUAACCCAGUACUGACUUGAUGGUUACCUAGUACUGACUUGAUGGUAACUAUGUACUGACUUGAUGGUAUUCUAGUACUGACUUGAUGGUAACUAUGUACUGACUUCACAGUAACCCAGUACUGACUUCACGGUAUUCUAGUACUGACUUGAUGGUAUUCUAGUACUGACUUGAUGGUAACUAUGUACUGACUUGAUGGUAACUAUGUACUGACUUCACAGUAACCCAGUACUGACUUGAUGGUAACUAUGUACUGACUUCACGGUAACCCAGUACUGACUUGAUGGUUACCUAGUACUGACUUCACGGUAACCCAGUACUGAAUUGAUGGUUACCCAGUAUUGACUUGAUGGUUACCUAGUACUUCCAGGCAGUAGGUCAUACUGUUGAGCUCUUUGCAUUUGCUUAACCCUAUUUGUAUUAUUCAUCAUUUUCUUCUUUGUAAACUGCUUUUAUUUCAAACCACUGACUGAAUCCAAGAGAUUGCAACACAUCACAUUAGUUUGUACCCAAUUACAUAUUCAUUGUCUUGUCAUUUCUUGAAAAAUUUCAGUCACCAUUAUGUGGGGUUAUUCAGUGUCUAUAAAAUGUCUACAAAUCAA
rnacentral:lncRNA from 1 species